AUGAAAAAAAUAAAAAAGAUCAUAAUGGUCGAUGUUAUAAAAUUACAAUACCAUGACUUUAGUCUGAUCAUACACAGGGAUUGCCCAAUUGCUCUAUUAUUUCCUUUACCUACUUUUCCUCCUCUUUUUCCUCCUCCUCCUCCUCUACUGGGCA
rnacentral:lncRNA from 1 species